rnacentral:tRNA from 2 species
GGAGAGGUGGCCGAGUGGUCGAAGGCGCUCCCCUGCUAAGGGAGUAGACGGUGUUGAACCGUCUCGUGGGUUCGAAUCCCAUCCUCUCCGCCA